AUUGAACGCUGGCGGCAUGCUUUACACAUGCAAGUCGAACGGUAACAGGCCGCGAGGUGCUGACGAGUGGCGAACGGGUGAGUAAUGCAUCGGAACGUGCCCAGUCGUGGGGGAUAACGCAGCGAAAGCUGCGCUAAUACCGCAUACGAUCUAUGGAUGAAAGCGGGGGACCGUAAGGCCUCGCGCGAUUGGAGCGGCCGAUGUCAGAUUAGGUAGUUGGUGGGGUAAAGGCUCACCAAGCCAACGAUCUGUAGCUGGUCUGAGAGGACGACCAGCCACACGGGGACUGAGACACGGCCCAGACUCCUACGGGAGGCAGCAGUGGGGAAUUUUGGACAAUGGGCGCAAGCCUGAUCCAGCAAUGCCGCGUGCAGGAAGAAGGCCUUCGGGUUGUAAACUGCUUUUGUACGGAACGAAACGGUCCUGGUUAAUACCUGGGGCUAAUGACGGUACCGUAAGAAUAAGCACCGGCUAACUACGUGCCAGCCGCCGCGGUAAAAC
rnacentral:rRNA from 1 species